GUACGACCGCAAGGUUGAAACUCAAAGGAAUUGACGGGGGCCCGCACAAGCGGUGGAGCAUGUGGUUUAAUUCGAAGCAACGCGAAGAACCUUACCAGGUCUUGACAUCCUUUGACCACUCUAGAGAUAGAGCUUCCCCUUCGGGGGCAAAGUGACAGGUGGUGCAUGGUUGUCGUCAGCUCGUGUCGUGAGAUGUUGGGUUAAGUCCCGCAACGAGCGCAACCCUUAUUGUUAGUUGCCAUCAUUNAGUUGGGCACUCUAGCAAGACUGCCGGUGACAAACCGGAGGAAGGUGGGGAUGACGUCAAAUCAUCAUGCCCCUUAUGACCUGGGCUACACACGUGCUACAAUGGGAAGUACAACGAGUUGCGAAGUCGCGAGGCUAAGCUAAUCUCUUAAAGCUUCUCUCAGUUCGGAUUGCAGGCUGCAACU
rnacentral:rRNA from 1 species